rnacentral:rRNA from 1 species
CGAACGGCUGAGUAACACGUGGGCAACCUGCCCUCCUCUUGGGGAUAGCCUCGGGAAACCGAGGAUAAUACCCGAUACUUCACUUGAGCCGCAUGACUCAAGUGAGAAAGCUUUUGCGGAGAAGGAUGGGCCCGCGGCCUGUUAGCUUGUUGGUGGGGUAGAGGCCUACCAAGGCAAUGAUGGGUAGCCGGGUUGAGAGACCGACCAGCCAGAUUGGGACUGAGACACGGCCCAG